rnacentral:rRNA from 1 species
CAACAGGGAUUGCCCCAGUAACGGCGAGUGAAGCGGCAACAGCUCAAAUUUGAAAUCUGGCCCCCGGGUCCGAGUUGUAAUUUGUAGAGGAUGCUUUUGGCGAGGUGCCUUCCGAGUUCCCUGGAACGGGACGCCAUAGAGGGUGAGAGCCCCGUCUGGUCGGACACCGAGCCUCUGUAAAGCUCCUUCGACGAGUCGAGUAGUUUGGGAAUGCUGCUCAAAAUGGGAGGUAUAUGUCUUCUAAAGCUAAAUAUUGGCCAGAGACCGAUAGCGCACAAGUAGAGUGAUCGAAAGAUGAAAAGCACUUUGAAAAGAGGGUUAAAAAGUACGUGAAAUUGUUGAAAGGGAAGCGCCUAUGACCAGACUUGGGCCCGGUGAAUCAUCCAGCGUUCUCGCUGGUGCACUUUGCCGGGCACAGGCCAGCAUCAGUUUGGCGCGGGGGAUAAAGGCUUUGGGAAUGUGGCUCCCUCGGGAGUGUUAUAGCCCACUGCGCAAUACCCUGCGCCGGACUGAGGUACGCGCAUCGCAAGGAUGC